rnacentral:misc_RNA from 1 species
CAAAUCCAAACAACAAUUACCCGUUAAAAUGUUCUCGGCCUUGGUUGUUGCAUAUUGCGCAUGAAUAUAUUACAUAUAUACAAACGCAAGCAGUGUAAAAAUGGGAGUGGUAUCAUUUCCAUCCAAGGUCCGGUUUAAAACAACAACGUUAUUUAUUAUGGCCAUACAUAACAGUGUGAAAACAAAAA